rnacentral:sRNA from 1 species
CGGCGCCGAGCCUGAGCCGAGAGAAGAGACCUGGGAAAUUAAGUUUCUUGCGGAGGUGCUGCAGCUGCUGCGCAUCAUCACUCGCCACGACCUGCUGCCCUACGUCACCCUCAAGAGGAGACGGGCUGUGUGCCCUGAUCUUGUAGACAAGUAUCUGGAGGAGACAUCAAUUCGCUAUGUGACCCCCAGAGCCCUCAGUGAUCCAGAACCAAGGCCUCCCCAGCCCUCUAAAACAGAUGUGUAGCAAGCGGCCAGCCCGAGGGAGAGCCACACUUGGGAGCCAGCGAAAACGCCGGAAGUCAGUGACACCAGAUCCCAAGGAAAAGCAGACAUGUGACAUCAGACUGCGGGUUCGGGCUGAAUACUGCCAGCAUGAGACUGCUCUGCAGGGCAAUGUCUUCUCUAACAAGCAGGACCCACUUGAGCGCCAGUUUGAGCGCUUUAACCAGGCCAACACCAUCCUCAAGUCCCGGGACCUGGGCUCCAUCAUCUGUGACAUCAAGUUCUCUGAGCUCACCUACCUCGAUGCAUUCUGGCGCGACUACAUCAAUGGCUCUUUAUUAGAGGCACUUAAAGGUGUCUUCAUCACAGACUCCCUCAAGCAAGCUGUGGGCCAUGAAGCCAUCAAGCUGCUGGUAAAUGUAGACGAGGAGGACUAUGAGCUGGGCCGACAGAAACUCCUGAGGAACUUGAUGCUGCAAGCAUUGCCCUGACCUAUUCCCUCUUCUCACUUUGGGGACUGUUCCCAUCACCCACCUCUGGAGCUUACACUGUUCUGGGGUUUGUUCUCUACCCUUCCAACCAAUCACACCCCUGCCUUUUUUUUUUUUUUUUAAAGAAAAAGACAAAAGAAAGUGGAAGUGGUAUUCCCCACCCCUCCCUGCACCCAUGUGCCUGGGCUUCCCCUUUAUUUCCCUUUUCCAUUUACCCGCUAAUGUGUCUCUACAGCUACCUUACCACUGAGCCGUAAGACAAAUGUAUAGGAAGAAGCAAAGUCUACAGCACAUAGUCUUUGUAAGGGAUUGAUGUGAACACUUUUUUUGGAUGCACUAAGGAGUUAUCAAUACUUCUGGCUUUAUGAGAGCUCUUAAAUUUUGUCUAAAAAACCAAAGGG